GAGAGAACGAACAAGAGGAAAGAAAGUUCAUUUAAGUGGAGAAAGAUAUAAGAAGAUGUACUGUCCAUUCUGUGGUGCCAGCGUGACAUCUUCGCAUGGCUUUUGUGGUGUCUGUGGCAGAGACAUCACAUUUCUAAAAGAUGUGGCUAACAAAGUCCCUGAGGAGAUGCCCACCACUAGUGCGCAUCUAAGUGCACAGCCUAGCACCAGUGCAGCAGGAAGCUCAGCUGUAGAGUCCUUUCAGAAAUAUAGGGAAAUAAAAAAGAGGGAGAGACCUUUUUUACAAAGGGACGGCAUAACUCCAAAAAUAAACAGAAAUUGGUGAAGAUUUCUGUUGGAGUAAUGAGGAGGAUGGAUGGCUGCCUUAAACCUUUGAGAGGGAGGUCACUUCCCCUUAAUGUCGAACCUCAAUGGGCAUGUGAAGAACUGUUGGCUGCUGCCAUAAAAAAGCAGAAAGCCUUUAACCAGGACUUGGAAGAUGGUGCCCAUGUCUUGUUGUACCCUGAUGCGAGGGUGAUAACAAAUAUCCCCGGAACGGACACCCCUUUCACAGUACAGAUGUACAAAGAGGCCAUUGGAAAGCCCUACCAACGAAUUACGUUGUACAUCUGUACUCUUGAAGCCGUUGAAAACAGUUGUUACACUGGAACAACCUCUUCAAGUGACGAGGACAGUGUGGUUUUUGCAAAGUUGCCAUCUGGAGACAGUCUUGCUGACACCGUGACCUCUCAGGCACCCACAACCAGCGUCUGAUCGGGAUGGAGAACCAACCCCAUUCCAGGAAGAGGUCCAGUCUGCCCCGGGUCAGAACACCUUCUAUAGGUAAACGAUGUUGACAGUUGCAUCGUGACACAGUUGUUUGCAACUACACAACUGUGUAUGCACUUAUCAUUAUUGACAGCCAGUCUGAGCCAGAAGAGGAAACGGAGCAAACUGCAGAGGAAAUCACAGAAUACCUGACUGCGCCAGACAUUGUUGCAGAACUCUCUGCAAAAAUUAAAAAUACCUCUUGCAGCAGGUUCAAUAUUAAUAGAGCCAAUGUGUGGGAUGGAGCAAUCCGCGGCUUCAAAGGGGCCUCAUUCGACCCCUCUCAUCAGAUGCAGGUUAAGUUUAU